rnacentral:lncRNA from 1 species
UCAUCGAUCCGACAUCAAACUCUGAGGAGCAGCCGCUUCUGUUGGGAAGAUACAGUCUGGCAUUGUCAACUCCGUUGGGGAUAUACAGUCUGGCACUGUCAAUUCUACUAGGGAGUGUAUAAUCUGAAACAACAUGCUUGGGGGAGUACAGUAGUGAGAAACUGCUGAGGAUUGAAGAAUCCAAUGCUCGGACCAGCUCUGUAGGGAUAAGGUACCAAAUACCAACUAUUGAAGCAAGACAUCCGCGAUCAUCUGCUGGGAACCUCAAG